GACGAACGCUGGCGGCGUGCCUAAUACAUGCAAGUCGAACGAACUCUGGUAUUGAUUGGUGCUUGCAUCAUGAUUUACAUUUGAGUGAGUGGCGAACUGGUGAGUAACACGUGGGAAACCUGCCCAGAAGCGGGGGAUAACACCUGGAAACAGAUGCUAAUACCGCAUAACAACUUGGACCGCAUGGUCCGAGUUUGAAAGAUGGCUUCGGCUAUCACUUUUGGAUGGUCCCGCGGCGUAUUAGCUAGAUGGUGGGGUAACGGCUCACCAUGGCAAUGAUACGUAGCCGACCUGAGAGGGUAAUCGGCCACAUUGGGACUGAGACACGGCCCAAACUCCUACGGGAGGCAGCAGUAGGGAAUCUUCCACAAUGGACGAAAGUCUGAUGGAGCAACGCCGCGUGAGUGAAGAAGGGUUUCGGCUCGUAAAACUCUGUUGUUAAAGAAGAACAUAUCUGAGAGUAACUGUUCAGGUAUUGACGGUAUUUAACCAGAAAGCCACGGCUAACUACGUGCCAGCAGCCGCGGUAAUACGUAGGUGGCAAGCGUUGUCCGGAUUUAUUGGGCGUAAAGCGAGCGCAGGCGGUUUUUUAAGUCUGAUGUGAAAGCCUUCGGCUCAACCGAAGAAGUGCAUCGGAAACUGGGAAACUUGAGUGCAGAAGAGGACAGUGGAACUCCAUGUGUAGCGGUGAAAUGCGUAGAUAUAUGGAAGAACACCAGUGGCGAAGGCGGCUGUCUGGUCUGUAACUGACGCUGAGGCUCGAAAGUAUGGGUAGCAAGCAGGAUUAGAUACCCUGGUAGUCCAUACCGUAAACGAUGAAUGCUAAGUGUUGGAGGGUUUCCGCCCUUCAGUGCUGCAGCUAACGCAUUAAGCAUUCCGCCUGGGGAGUACGGCCGCAAGGCUGAAACUCAAAGGAAUUGACGGGGGCCCGCACAAGCGGUGGAGCAUGUGGUUUAAUUCGAAGCUACGCGAAGAACCUUACCAGGUCUUGACAUACUAUGCAAAUCUAAGAGAUUAGACGUUCCCUUCGGGGACAUGGAUACAGGUGGUGCAUGGUUGUCGUCAGCUCGUGUCGUGAGAUGUUGGGUUAAGUCCCGCAACGAGCGCAACCCUUAUUAUCAGUUGCCAGCAUUAAGUUGGGCACUCUGGUGAGACUGCCGGUGACAAACCGGAGGAAGGUGGGGAUGACGUCAAAUCAUCAUGCCCCUUAUGACCUGGGCUACACACGUGCUACAAUGGAUGGUACAACGAGUUGCGAACUCGCGAGAGUAAGCUAAUCUCUUAAAGCCAUUCUCAGUUCGGAUUGUAGGCUGCAACUCGCCUACAUGAAGUCGGAAUCGCUAGUAAUCGCGGAUCAGCAUGCCGCGGUGAAUACGUUCCCGGGCCUUGUACACACCGCCCGUCACACCAUGAGAGUUUGUAACACCCAAAGUCGGUGGGGUAACCUUUUAGGAACCAGCCGCCUAAGGUGGGACAGAUGAUUAGGGUG
rnacentral:rRNA from 2 species